CUGUCCCUUCUGCAGUCAUGGCCUCUGGCUCCUCUCCCUCAGUUUCAGCAGGGGACUGGCCAAGAAUAAUCAUGAAGAGGUCAUUCUACUGUAUACACAGAUCAAACUUGAGCUGCCACUUGGGUCUGUCCUCUCCAAAACGUUUCUGUGAGUUUGGCACAUUUGGCAACGCCCCCCCCGGCCACUUCCUGAGAAGCUCUAUGGACCCAACCAACUCCAUAUGGGAGGAGGGGGGAACUCCCUCAGAUGGUACAGCCCAUCUGCUGCGCGGUGAACUUUGAGACAAGUGAACCAACUUGACAAUUGUCAGGUGUUGUUUUUCGACCGGCCCAAAAGUGAAGUGAAAGUGAAGCGGCCCACCGGUAAUCCGCCCGAAUCUCCCGAUUACCCGCUCCGCCCCUGCUCACACACUCACUCACACUCACUCUCACAGCCGUACACUUACAUGUAGACGUCUCAGGUUACAAGUCAGCUUCCCCUGUCAAUGUUGUUUCCUUGCCUCACUCUUUGAAUGAAUAACGGCAAAAGAAACCACAGCAGCAGUCCCUUCCCAGCCUGUUAGUUCUUGGUACUUCCUGGGUUUGUUUUGUUUAUACCUCGCCUCCUCUCGUGGAACCUGAAGCUGGUCUGGCCAUUGGCUUCCUGGGGGAGGGACUUCUGAGACUACUACUAAAAGUCUAAGCUAAUUUUAGAUACAAAAAAACUAAAACUCCAUCUAUGAGAGCCAACAGCAGUUUGUUUUGGACAGGAGACUUCUGAGGACAAUUCAGCUCCUGAAACAUGGAAUCCUUAUGUGGAGGAGGAGACUGCAAUGACAAUGGGUGUAAAGACAACUCCCUCGAUCCAACACUUCACAACACCACCUAUCGCCUUUUAUUGUUUUGAUAUUAGAGACCCUUAAUGAUAGAAAUAGAAGUUAAUGUGAAUAUUUACAAUCUUUGCCGUUUCACAGUUAAGACAUUAAGAGUUUGUGCAACUAUGUAGCAAUUUGAAAUGAAACCCUCAUCUGAGCUUGACAAAUUCCCUUAGCAUGAAUUCCCACUGCAGUUUUAACUUCACCUGUACCACAGAUCGAGUCUGUUGGAAUCCUGUGAAAUAAAGCCAGAGUCAUCGCCUUUGUAAUCAAACCCACUUUUAUUGGUUGUCUGUUAGAAAGCCUACACAGCAUGAAGGGCCUUCCAGCGGGACAGAGGGCCUCUGCUGGGGAUGUACUUCACCCCACAGCCAUCUGAGAUCAGACGCUUCUCAGCCAUCAUGUCAUCAAAGUCGCAGGCAUUGAACUUGGUGAAGCCAUACUUCUUGGAGAUAUGGAUCUAAAGGAGAAAACAACGACAGAAGUCCAUUCAGGCAUGAUAAACAAAAUUACAAUGAACUUUGAGUAAAAGCUCUUGAUGAGCACUUUGUCUCAGUGGUCCCUUAAAGCACUCAGCACCACCCAGCUGAGGACAUACACAACCACAGAGUCACUGUCUGCAGCCUUUGCACACUGGAACUGCACUGCAGCAGGAUCAGUCGGCUUAAUAAACUGCAGAGUGUUGGGGUUAACUCAGUUCCCAUGUUCCUCCUCGCAUGUGUUUCACGAUAAAAAUUGUUCCCAACACAACUGACCAAAAGAAAUAUAUAACCCAAAGUUCUGAGUGUUGAGAGGUGAUGUGCUGCUUUACCUUCUGGCGACCAGGGAACUUGAACUUGGCUCUGCGCAGAGCCUCGAUCACAUGCUCCUUGUUCUGGGCCUUGGUGCGCACGGACAUGAUAACCUGACCAAUGUGCACACGGGCCACGGUGCCCUGGGGUUUGCCGAAAGCACCACGCA